GUGUCCCCUAGAGUUCCCCUGAGCACUUCAUUGGGGAUCCUUAGUUUUCAAUUCCUACUGAAGUGUUUGGGGGAACUCCCGGUGUCAU
rfam:Vitis vinifera, whole genome shotgun sequence of line PN40024, unoriented chromosome 1, chr1